UGUGUUCAGAAUAACUCCAUCCUCAACUCCUGACCAGUCCCCCCACCGAACCUCCCCACCCAAUCGGUGUCUUUGGCAGAAGAGCCCAAGAAGCUGCAUUUUUACCAGGUUCCCAGAGGACAGUUGUACAUUCUAACCUGAAAACCACUGGCCCAGACUGUCCGUAGGAAUCAGGCCACCAACAGGACUUGAAGUCACAGACCUCCAUCCCUACCCCUCGUGGGUGAAGGAAGGAAAGAACAACAGACAAGCUCAGAGGACUGAGUCUGGGACCCCAUCCACAUCAAGAUGCUUAAUUUGAACGCCUACUCCCAAGGAAGUGACUCAUAGCUGCUGUCUGAUGAUAAGGAAACUGACGCACAUAGAGUGAGAUCAUUUUACUAAAGGUGGAAGAGGCAGAAUCCAGAUUCAAACUCAUCAUGCUCCAGAGGCCACACUCGUAACAAUACGCUACGCAUAUGAACCCUAUAAAGUCUAGAACAACUCUGAUGAUAUUCGAGGUCAUCUCUCUCCUGCCACAUCUUCCCACAGUUUCCGAGAUAAGAACGAGAAGAACUGGAACAUCUGAGCACUGUUCUGGAAAGAGCUCUGACUGAGAGUGAGGAGACCCAGGCGCUA